rnacentral:rRNA from 1 species
UUGAAAGGGAAACGAUUGAAGUCAGUCGUACCGACGAGAAAUCAGCUUAUCGUGUGUUAACUUGUGGGCGUGCGUGAGUUUCGGCCUCGCUGUUUGCAUGUUUGUGCGCUUUGGGUGUACUUUUUCGUAUGGUUGGCCAACAUCAGUUUCGAUUACUAUAAAAUGACUGGCGGAAUGUAGCUUCGAUUUCAGUUGAAGUGUUAUAGCCUCUGGUAGAUGUGGUGAUUGAGACUGAGGAUUGCAACGAAUAUCCUUUGGGCUAUCCGUCUGGCCUCUGAAAGUUGCUUGGGUGCUGAAAGCUUGCUUAUGGUUAUCUAAGUUAACGGUCAAUAGGUUAGAACGCGAUUACAUUCGUUAAGGAUGUUGACGUA